rnacentral:rRNA from 1 species
UACGUAGGGGGCGAGCGUUGUCCGAAUUCACUGGGCGUAAAGCGCGCGUAGGCGGACUAUUAAGUUGUGGGUGAAAUCCCGGGGCUCAACCCCGGAACUGCCUGCAAAACUGGUAGUCUUGAGGUAUGAAGAGGGAAGUGGAAUUCCAGGUGUAGCGGUGAAAUGCGUAGAUAUCUGGAGGAACACCCGUGGCGAAGGCGGCUUCCUGGUCAUAUCCUGACGCUGAGGUGCGAAAGCCAGGGGAGCGAACGGG